GCAAGCGUUGUCCGGAUUUAUUGGGCGUAAAGAGCGUGUAGGCGGUUAGGUAGGUCCGUUGUGAAAACUCGAGGCUCAACCUCGAGACGCCGAUGGAAACCAUCUGACUAGAGUCCGGAAGAGGAGAGUGGAAUUCCUGGUGUAGCGGUGAAAUGCGCAGAUAUCAGGAAGAACACCCGUGGCUAAGGCGGCUCUCUAGUACGUGACUGACGCUGAGACGCGAAAGCGUGGGGAGCGAACAGG
rnacentral:rRNA from 1 species